GUUCCCCACCGUGAAGAUGCUGACCGUGUGGGUGCUCGUUUGUGCCAUGAUGGCUCUGACCAGAGCUGAGGCUCUUCCAGAGGAAAAGGCUGAAAAGGACGAUCAAGCAGCAGAGAUCGACCUGGUUGCAAGAACCUUCCGAUACCGGUGUCCCCGUGGUUGGUCAAUCGUCG